GCCUGGGUGGCUCAGUGGUUGAGCACCUGCCUUUGGCUCAGGCCGUGAUCCUGGGGUCCUGGGAUCGAGUCCCACAUUGGGCU
rnacentral:tRNA from 1 species